rnacentral:rRNA from 1 species
UUUUGUAUAUAAUUUAAGGUCUAGCCUGCCCACUGAAAUUUUAAAUGGCCGUGGUAUUUUGACCGUGCUAAGGUAGCAUAAUCAUUAGUUUUUUAAUUAAAAACUGGAAUGAAAGGUUGGAUGAGAAAAUAGCUGUCUCUAUUAAAUUUAAUUAGAAUUUUAUUUUUAAGUUAAAAAGCUUAAUUAUUAUUAAAAGACGAGAAGACCCUAUAGAGUUUAAUUAUUUAGUAAAAAUUAUAUUUUAGUAUUAAUUUAUUUAUUUUAUUAAAUAAUUUAAUUGGGGUGAUUGAAAAAUUUAAUUAACUUUUUUUAUUUAAGAACAUUAAUUUAUGAAUAAAUGAUCCAAUAUUUUUGAUUAUAAGAUAAAAUUACCUUAGGGAUAACAGCGUAAUUUUUUUAGAAAGUUCAUAUUAAAAAAAAAGAUUGCGACCUCGAUGUUGGAUUAAAAUAAAUUUUUGGUGUAGAAGCUAAAAUAUUAGGUCUGUUCGACCUUUAAAAUUUUA